rnacentral:rRNA from 1 species
UACGAAGGGGGCUAGCGUUGUUCGGAAUUACUGGGCGUAAAGCGCGCGCAGGCGGCUAUCCAAGUCAGUGGUGAAAGCCCGGAGCUCAACUCCGGAACUGCCAUUGAAACUGUUUAGCUUGAGUAUGAGAGAGGUGAGUGGAAUUCCCAGUGUAGAGGUGAAAUUCGUAGAUAUUGGGAAGAACACCGGUGGCGAAGGCGGCUCACUGGCUCAUUACUGACGCUGAGGCACGAAAGCGUGGGGAGCAAACAGG